rnacentral:rRNA from 1 species
AACGAACGCUGGCGGCAGGCUUAAUACAUGCAAGUCAAGGGGUAGCAAUACACCGGCGUACGGGUGCGUAACGCGUAUGGAACCUGCCCUUAUCUGGGGGAUAACUCGGGGAAACUCGAGCUAAUACCGCAUAAGAUAGUGAAGAGGCAUCUCUUAGCUAUUAAAGAUUUAUCGGAUAAGGAUGGCCAUGCGUAAGAUUAGAUAGUUGGCGAGGUAACGGCUCACCAAGUCUACGAUCUUUAGGGGCUCUGAGAGGAGAAUCCCCCACACUGGCACUGAGAUACGGGCCAGACUCCUACGGGAGGCAGCAGUAGGGAAUAUUGGGCAAUGGGCGGAAGCCUGACCCAGCCACGCCGCGUGCAGGAAGACGGUCCUCUGGGUUGUAAACUGCUUUUAACUGGGAAGAAAGCAGCUCAUGCGUGAGAAUUUGACGGUACCAGUUGAAUAAGCCACGGCUAACUACGUGCCAGCCGCCGCAGUAACAC